AAUUGAAUAAUUGGGGUUCUUUGAUAUGCUGAAUCUAACUGUCAUGACUGUGUAUGUAGAUUCUUAACUUUUGGUCCCGUUUUCAAAUUGGUCUACAUUAAGGUCCAAAGGGUCCAAAAUUAAACUUAGUUUGAUUUUGACAAAAAAUUAAUCAGUUAGGUUCUUUGAUAUGCUGAAUCUAAAAAUGUACUUAGAUUCUUGAUUAUUGGCCCAGUUUUCAAGUUGGUCCAAAUCGGGGUCCAAAAUUAAACUUUGUUUGAUUUCAUCAAAAAUUGAAUAAAUGGGGUUCUUUGAUAUACCAAAUCUAACUGUGUAUGUAGAUUCUUCAGUUUUGGUCCUGUUUUCAAAUUGGUCUACACUAAAGUCCAAAGGGUCCAAAAUUAAACUUAGUCUGAUUUUAACAAAAAUUGAAAUCUUGAAGUUCUUU
rnacentral:lncRNA from 1 species